UCUCACAUCCCAGCUGACCCCAAUACCAGAGCGGAGCUUGCAGCGAGUCCCUGCUCCCUCCAGGCGCUGAUCAGCUCUCUGAGUGUGUGGGAAUGCAGGGUUUCUGGUGGCACAAUUCACAAAAUGCGUCAUCCAACACAGAGAAAUUGAAGGAAACUGCACAGAAUGCUGGAUUUAAGACAAAGAAGUGCUUCAUGGCUUAAGUAUUUUCUUUUAAUCUAUAUGUUUUUAAGUACGUGCAUGUUCCCUUGAAACUCCUGGGUGGACACCAUCUGCUCCAGAUCAUUCAUUCCAUUUCAUUGGUAUUUAUGUGACGGAGAGUACAAGAGCACUCGUCAAACGCCUACAGCAGAUUCGAACUCGUCGGAGUCUUCAAGGCACCACUCUCACACAGAUAAGUUAAUAAUGACAUUAAUAACCUCAGAGAACUCGUGACAGGGCCCUGCAAAUUUGUAACCAAAAUAUGUAACCCAAGGCACCUUCUUGAUUGUGCUUUAGUUUACCACAGCAACGUGGAAGCGCUGUGUGUCCCAAAUGCCCUUCAGUUUGAGGGCUCUCCUCAUGUAAAAUAUAGUCAAAGCCAUCACCAUUCUGUACAGCUCAAAAGCUCCUUUUCCUCUCAAUUUUCUUGCUGAAAUUACCUCUGAGACAACACUUUACCCCUCACUCCUAUUAAAUGAUUAUACAGCAAGAGCUAUUUCUUAAGUGGGAUG